rnacentral:rRNA from 1 species
GACGAACGCUGGCGGCGUGCUUAACACAUGCAAGUCGAACGGAAAGGCCUGCUUUCCCUUGUGGAUUGCGGGUGCUCGAGUGGCGAACGGGUGAGUAACACGUGAGUGAUCUGCCCCCAACUUGGGUAUAAGCCUGGGAAACUGGGUCUAAUUCCCGAUAGGACUGCAGGGUGGUGCCUGUGGUGGAAAACGAUUUUCUAGUGGUUGGGGAUGGGCUCGCGGCCUAUCAGCUUGUUGGUGGGGUAAUGGCCUACCAAGGCGGCGACGGGUAGCCGGCCUGGGAGGGUGGACGGCCACAUUGGGACUGAGAUACGGCCCAGACUCCUACGGGAGGCAGCAGUGGGGAAUAUUGCACAAUGGGCGGAAGCCUGAUGCAGCGACGCCGCGUGGGGGAUGACGGCCUUCGGGUUGUAAACUCCUUUCGACCGCGAGGAAGCCACCUGGUUGGAAGGGUGGUGACGGUAGUGGUAGAAGAAGCACCGGCUAACUACGUG